rnacentral:ncRNA from 1 species
CGUUCUGGAGAAUCCCGCAGGUCCCAUCGGGCUGAAGCGGGUGCCGAAGGUGCAAGCGACUCGUCGAUCUCUCAGGCAAAAGGACAGAAC